GGCCUCCGGAUCUCAUCAGGCAGAGGAAUCUACAUAAUGUGACAAGGAAUCUACAUAAUGUGACGACUUGACAAUUCCACACUCCACGUUCUCCAGGUGCCUGCGUGUGGCGUGGUGAGCGCUCACCCUGUGAGCCAGCAUGGGACAAGCACUCAGGACAGUUUGCUGGAUGAAGCUGAGACACUGGGUCACUGGGUCACUCUGGCUGCCGAGCAGGUGAAAGAGUUUUUCAGAUGUGCAGCGAGGUGUACCCAGUACAGGCCCGAGCAGAGGGAGCCUCGCAGCAGCUGAGGGAAGAAGGGGCUCAUGUGUAGGAAGAACCCCAGGCAGCCACGGUCUUGCCUCUUGCUUGCUCUACUGCCUCCAGUUCAGACUGGGGGUCAAGGCCCCUGUGGAAGGCAUGCCCUCCCAGCACCCACAUCCCAACACGUGUGUUCAGACUGGUGAGGAGGACCCUGCUCCUUGACACACUCAGCGAGCCCACUCCUGGACUUUGCUGUCCUCAGAGACCAGGGGCGUCAGGGUCUCAACGAUGCCAGGUCAGGGCAUGCAGCACUGCUGCUGGGAGUCAGAAGGACUGUUGGCACAACGCCGAUGCUGGUUGCUUGGUGAGGGAAGAGGGAAGCACGUGAUAGGGACCAUCCAGAUGUCAGAUUCUUCAGGGCCUCCUCCUAGAGGACCCCAGUCACCAUGUGUCAAACAGAGUAACCUUCCAGGAUGGCACAUGUGGUCUGACAAGGGGCUUUGGAAGGUAGUUUCAGUCCGCUGUUGUUUUUUGUAUGGAUGACCUGGGGCCUCUGGGCUUUAGUUUUCCCAUCUGCAAAAUGGAGAUGUUGAUGUGUAAUUUUGAGACAGACCAUCUAAAAGCCAUCGGCAAGAAUGGAGGUCAAAUGAUUUCGAUAAUUGCAGCUGCACACGGGGCUAAAAUAGUUCAAUCUGAGAGUUGAGGGGGUGGGAGGUGAGAAUGGCCUUAGAUGAGGGGGCCUCACUGCCACUGAGGUCACCACCUUUGCCAGCACAUGGAGACGGGCAUGGUGACCUCCUCCCACCUCUGGUUGCUCAUCACUUUGAGGCUUUGGCUCCUCGGAUUUCCCUCAGCACUAAUCACUCUUUUUUUUUUUUUAUUGCUUAUGGUCGUUUGUUGCUCUUCUCUAUUUAGUUAUGAAGUUGACCUUAAAUGCAGUCCAUAACAUCCUAUCCUUAUCCUCUUUUUUAGUGAAUUUUUUCCAACAGAUAGUUAUGGCAGUUUCAAAGCUUUAGCUGCAAAUUUCAGAAAUCCUAAAUCAAGAUAGCUUAUAUAAUAUUGGAGAGUUAAUAGUUUGUUAUUAAAUGGCCCAGAGACAGAUCUUCAGCCAAAGUUUGAUCCAGAACCAAAGAUGACAUCUGGGACCAGUUUCGUUUCUCUCUUCUGUCCUCCCUCAUACUAGCUUUUCUUCAAGCUGUUCCCCAUCAUGAUCCUGAGAUGACCACCGUGACUGCCAACUGCUUCAGUGUUCUCCUCCAUCAGGAAAGAGUGCUUGCCCUUCCCAGCAAAACCCUCAAGAUUUAUUUAUGUAUUUUUCUUGCAGAGCUGGGGAUGGAACCCAAGGCCUUGUGUGUGCUAGGCAAGCGCUCGACCACUGAGCUACUUUCCCAGUUCCCUCAGGAUUGACUUUGACUGGUGAAUUUAGGCUACAUAUCCACUUUGAAUAAGUUUCUGGCCUAGGGAAAUAAUGCACUGAGUAAUUUAGCCUAAGUGACAUCCCCCAUUGCUGGGGAUGGAGGUAGGUUUCAUUUUUUUUCAGAACCUCAUUUCGGCGCUGAUAAGGAAGCGAAUGUGGAGACUCUGAUGCUGAGGAGGCCACUAACCAUGCUGCCUUCCAUGAAGAACCACAAGGCCCAAAUGCUUGAAGACUUUUCCAUUUGAAAACCAGCGUGCGUACUGCUUAAACCAAGGUCAAGGCAUCUGAUGUGACACCAAGUGGCUUUCAUCAACAGGCAUGAGGAGCAGUCUGAACCUUUGCAUUUUCUGAUGUUACAAAACACUGGGUUCUGUACUUCAGUGCUCUCGCCAGGGAAGCUUUCUUGUUUGUGCAUUUCAGCCAUUUUCAACAUGCUCUAAAUUGAAACAGAGAAUGUAUUUUUUUCUUUCUAGUGUUAAAAUCCAAUAAGCAGCGGCACACUGCAGGAAGUCGGUCUAGCCACAGCAAAUCUGUACUUGUUUUUGUGAGAGAGGAUGGGAAGAAUGAAUAUUUGCCCUGUGGCAUCAAUUUCCUGUUUAAUGUUCUCCAAGAAGUGUUUGGAAAAUGCCCAGCUACACAGAUGUACGUAAAUACCAUACAUAACUUGUUUCUGAGUGGGGGGGAGCAGUCUGUGAAGUGGGGACAGGGCUGGCUUGCUUGCCUCCAGAUAGCUGGUAAGCAACUACCUUUGACCUGGUGAUCUGGGGACUAGAUUAUCCGAGUUUGGCACUGGAAGGAAAGCAGCAUAGGAAUAGCGUGGCUUCUUAGACUAUGUUCUUACUCGUGUGUGUGUGUGUGUGUGUGUGUGUGUGUGUAUCAGGGAUAGAACCCAGGGGUGCUUAAUCACUGAGCCACAUCUCCCUUUUUAAAAUUUUAUUUUGAGAUUUUGAGAGAGGGCUUUGCUAAGUGGCUGAGGCUGGCCUUGAACUGGUGAUUCUCCUGGAGUGGCUUCAAUUACAGGUGUGUGCUAUCGCACCUGGCUUGUUCUUAUUCAUUUAAGGCUACUUUUAUCCCAAAGUUUGCAUAUUCUUAUUGGAGAUGGCCUAUAAGAAAUGUAUAUUAAGAGGAUGGUUUUUAAAAACAAAACAGUUCCCUGCAAACAGAAGCCCAUCUGUAAGACGGACAGACACAAAUCUGUUUGUGCAAAGGUGUGCACACACUGCCUAGCGCCUCUUCCAGGGCAGUUUGUAUGCCCCACACAUGCCUUCAGAUCAUCUUAUAUAAAAGGCGAUGGCUGGGUUGGAGGACCAAACUCUUAUUUUUGUUUUAGCAACCAAGCUACAGGGCUACUCUAGAAGUUAAGACCUUGAUCCACAAAGGAAGCUUUAGAGGUAAAGAAUCUGUCCUCUCAUAUAUAAUUUUCAGAUGCCUCCUAAUAAGGCAAGGUGAGAAAUGAAGCCUAUGACCUGUUAAACACCUACGAUGUGAACGGAAGGCCUUUCUAUACAUUGUGACCCAUCCUCACAACAUCCUGUGUUGUGCUCCCUCUCUCCUCCUCUUACAGAUGAGGAAACUGGGACUUAGAGAAGGUAAACUACAGCUCAGGGGCUAGUGAUGCCUGCAUUAAACUCAGUGCGGGUCUGGUUGGUCCUGAAGCCUUAUACAUUCUUCUCAGAUUUAGAAACUGUUACUCUAGCAUUCACAGAUGAGCCUCAGAAAAUUCUCAAGAGCCUAGUUUUCUGUGUAAAUCUGUAAGUGUGUGUUCAUGUGUUCCUAACACUCAUGGGAUUUAUCAGCUGUGUUUCUGGAGCCUGGCACAGACUUCUUCCCUCCCCUUUCCUUGUGCACCCCCCAACCUCAGCCCCUGGAAACUGCCACUCUGGUCUCUACUUCUGUGUGCUCAACUGACUUAGAUUCCACCUGAACAUGAGAUAACAUAAGACAUGUCUUUCUGUGUGUUUUAUUUCAUUUAAUGUAAAGUCCUCCAGGUUUGACUAUGUUGUCACAAGUGACACACUUUCCUGUUUUUUAAUUAUUUGUUAGUGGCUGAAGAAUACUCAGUUGUGUGUAUAUACCAUGUUUUUAAAACACACCCUUUUCACCAUGAACACUUUGUUUCCAAAUCUUGGUCACUGUGAAUGAUGGUGUCUUAAAAAGAGGCGGCCCACCUCCCUUCAGC
rnacentral:lncRNA from 1 species